UUAAAUUUAGUUUAAUAAAAAAUUUAUUAUUUACAAUAAUAAGAUUUAUCUUGUAAAAUUUAAAUUUAAA
rnacentral:tRNA from 1 species